UACGGAGGGUGCAAGCGUUAUCCGGAUUCACUGGGUUUAAAGGGUGCGUAGGUGGGCAGGUAAGUCAGUGGCGAAAUCUCCGGGCUUAACCCGGAAACUGCCGUUGAUACUAUCUGUCUUGAAUAUAGUGGAGGUGAGCGGAAUAUGUCAUGUAGCGGUGAAAUGCUUAGAUAUGACAUAGAACAUCGAUUGCGAAGGCAGCUCGCUACGCUAUUAUUGACACUGAGGCACGAAAGCGUGGGGAUCAAACAGG
rnacentral:rRNA from 1 species